GAUGAACGCUGACAGAAUGCUUAACACAUGCAAGUCAACUUGAAUUUGGGUUUUUAACUUAGGUUUGGGUGGCGGACGGGUGAGUAACGCGUAAAGAACUUGCCUCACAGCUAGGGACAACAUUUGGAAACGAAUGCUAAUACCUAAUAUUAUGAUAAUAGGGCAUCCUAUAAUUAUGAAAGCUAUAAGCGCUGUGAGAGAGCUUUGCGUCCCAUUAGCUAGUUGGAGAGGUAACGGCUCACCAAGGCGAUGAUGGGUAGCCGGCCUGAGAGGGUGAUCGGCCACAAGGGGACGGAGACACGGCCCGUACUCCUACGGGAGGCAGGAGUGGGGAAUAUUGGACAAUGGACCGAGAGUCUGAUCCAGCAAUUCUGUGUGCACGAUGAAGUUUUUCGGAAUGUAAAGUGCUUUCAGUUGGGAAGAAACAAAUGACGGUACCAACAGAAGAAGUGACGGCUAAAUACGUG
rnacentral:rRNA from 1 species